rnacentral:rRNA from 1 species
AGAGUUUGAUCCUGGCUCAGAACUAACGCUUGUGGUGUGUCUUAGUCAUGCAAGUCGACACGAGAAACGUCGCCUUCGGGUGACGAGUACAGUGGCGAACGGGUGAGUUACACGUGGGCCACCUGCCCCUUGGUUGGGGGAUAACAUCUUCCCNACGAGGUGCUAAUACCGAACUGAUAAGGCGAGCUUGAUGCAUUCGUUUUUAACGGUGGCCUCUACUUGUAAUCUGCCGCCUAGGGAUGGGCCCGCGUCGUAUUGAGCUUGUUGGUAGGGUAACUGGCCUACCGCGACGAUGCGUAGGCCGGCCUGAGAGGGUGAAGCUGGCCACACUGGCGACUGUAGACAACGGCCAUGUCUCCGUACGGGAGCCACGCACGUCUANGCACAUGUUUGCUCAAUCGCCGAAAGGCGGAUGCAGCGACACCACGUGGGGGAUGAAGCCCCUCGGGGUGUAAACUCCUGUCAGAAGGGAAGAAGGCGCGGGCGUUAAUACCGCUCGUUGCUUGACGGUACCUUCAGAGGAAGCUCCGGCUAACUACGUGCCAGCAGCCGCGGUAAUACGUAGGGAGCGAGCGUUGUUCGGAUUUACUGGGCGUAAAGGGCAUGUAGGCGGGUAUGCAAGUCGGUUGUGAAAUCCUCUGGCUCAACCAGAGAACUGCAGCCGAAACUGCACACCUUGAGUCCAGCAGAGGGAAUCGGAAUCCCAGGUGUAGCGGUGAAAUGCGUAGAUAUCUGGGAGAACAUCAGUGGCGAAGGCGGAUUCCUGGGCUGGUACUGACGCUGAGGUGCGAAAGCUAAGGGAGCGAACAGGAUUAGAUACCCUGGUAGUCUUAGCCGUAAACGAUGGGUACUAGGUGUUGGGGGACAUUGACCCCCUCAGUGCCGUAGCUAACGCAUUAAGUACCCCGCCUGGGGAGUACGGCCGCAAGGCUGAAACUCAAAGGAAUUGAGGGGGACCCGCACAAGCAGUGGAGCAUGUUGCUUAAUUCGAUGCAACGCGAAGAACCUUACCAGGGCUUGACAUCCGAGGAACUUCUUGAAACAGGAGGUGCCUUCGGACCU